UCAGGAGAGUCUUGUGGUGAGGGUGUUCGACUCCCAGUCGAAAGGUUGUGGGUUCGAACCCUACCUGCUUAA